CUCGGGAAACUGAGGAUAAACCGCGAUAGGUCAUCACUUCUGGAAUGGGUAAUGACUUAAAUCUAUAUGGCCCCUGGAUUGGACUGCGGCCGAUCAGGCUGUUGGUGAGGUAAUGGCCCACCAAACCUGUAACCGGUACGGGCUCUGAGAGGAGGAGCCCGGAGAUGGGCACUGAGAAAAGGGCCCAGGCCCUAUGGGGCGCAGCAGGCGCGAAACCUCUGCAAUAGGCGAAAGCCUGACAGGGUUACUCUGAGUGACUUUCGCCAAGAAAGUCUUUUGGCACCUCUAAAAAGGGUGCAGAAUAAGGGGUGGGCAAGUCUGGUGUCAGCCGCCGCGGUAAUACCAGCACCCCGAGUGGUCGGGACGAUUAUUGGGCCUAAAGCAUCCGUAGCCGGUUCUGCAAGUCCCCCGUUAAAUCCAGCUGCUCAACAGAUGGGCCGCGGAGGAUACUACAGAGCUAGGAGGCAGGAGAGGCAAGCGGUACUCAGUGGGUAGGGGUAAAAUCGUUGAUCCAUUGAAGACCACCAGUGGCGAAGGCGGCUUGCCAGAAUGCGCUCGACGGUGAGGGAUGAAAGCUGGGGGAGCAAACCGGAUUAGAUACCCGGGUAGUCCCAGCCGUAAACGAUGCAGACUCGGUGAUGGGUUGGCUUUGCGCUAACCCAGUGCCGCAGGGAAGCCGUUAAGUCUGCCGCCUGGGUAGUACGGUCGCAAGACUG
rnacentral:rRNA from 1 species